rnacentral:rRNA from 1 species
AUGAACGCUAGCGACAGGCUUAACACAUGCAAGUCGAGGGGCAGCGGGGGUAGCGAUACCCGCCGGCGACCGGCGCACGGGUGAGUAACGCGUAUGCAACUUGCCUAUCAGAGGGGGAUAACCCGGCGAAAGUCGGACUAAUACCGCAUGAAGCAGGGGCCCCGCAUGGGGAUAUUUGCUAAAGAUUCAUCGCUGAUAGAUAGGCAUGCGUUCCAUUAGGCAGUUGGCGGGGUAACGGCCCACCAAACCGACGAUGGAUAGGGGUUCUGAGAGGAAGGUCCCCCACAUUGGUACUGAGACACGGACCAAACUCCUACGGGAGGCAGCAGUGAGGAAUAUUGGUCAAUGGCCGAGAGGCUGAACCAGCCAAGUCGCGUGAGGGAUGAAGGUUCUAUGGAUCGUAAACCUCUUUUAUAAGGGAAUAAAGUGCGGGACGUGUCCCGUUUUGUAUGUACCUUAUGAAUAAGGAUCGGCUAACUCCGUGCCAGCAGCCGCGGUAAUACGGAGGAUCCGAGCGUUAUCCGGAUUUAUUGGGUUUAAAGGGUGCGUAGGCGGCCUUUUAAGUCAGCGGUGAAAGUCUGUGGCUCAACCAUAGAAUUGCCGUUGAAACUGGGGGGCUUGAGUAUGUUUGAGGCAGGCGGAAUGCGUGGUGUAGCGGUGAAAUGCAUAGAUAUCACGCAGAACCCCGAUUGCGAAGGCAGCCUGCCAAGCCAUUACUGACGCUGAUGCACGAAAGCGUGGGGAUCAAACAGGAUUAGAUACCCUGGUAGUCCACGCAGUAAACGAUGAUCACUAGCUGUUUGCGAUACAGUGUAAGCGGCACAGCGAAAGCGUUAAGUGAUCCACCUGGGGAGUACGCCGGCAACGGUGAAACUCAAAGGAAUUGACGGGGGCCCGCACAAGCGGAGGAACAUGUGGUUUAAUUCGAUGAUACGCGAGGAACCUUACCCGGGUUUGAACGCAUUCGGACCGAGGUGGAAACACCUUUUCUAGCAAUAGCCGUUUGCGAGGUGCUGCAUGGUUGUCGUCAGCUCGUGCCGUGAGGUGUCGGCUUAAGUGCCAUAACGAGCGCAACCCUCGCCACUAGUUACUAACAGGUAAAGCUGAGGACUCUGGUGGGACUGCCAGCGUAAGCUGCGAGGAAGGCGGGGAUGACGUCAAAUCAGCACGGCCCUUACAUCCGGGGCGACACACGUGUUACAAUGGCGUGGACAAAGGGAAGCCACCUGGCGACAGGGAGCGAAUCCCCAAACCACGUCUCAGUUCGGAUCGGAGUCUGCAACCCGACUCCGUGAAGCUGGAUUCGCUAGUAAUCGCGCAUCAGCCAUGGCGCGGUGAAUACGUUCCCGGGCCUUGUACACACCGCCCGUCAAGCCAUGGGAGCCGGGGGUACCUGAAGUCCGUAACCGAAAGGAUCGGCCUAGGGUAAAACUGGUGACUGGGGCU